rnacentral:rRNA from 1 species
GAGUUUGAUCCUGGCUCAGGACGAACGCUGGCGGCGUGCUUAACACAUGCAAGUGGAGCGACGAACCAGAGCUUGCUCUGGGGCAGAGCCGCGAACGGGUGAGUAACACGUGGGUAACCCACCCCGAUGACCGGGACAACCCGAGGAAACUCGGGCUAAUACCGGAUGUUCUCUCCUCCUCUAAGGGAGGCGAGCAAAGAUAGCUUCGGCCUUCGCAUCGGGACGGGCCCGCGGCCCAUUAGCUUGUUGGUGAGGUAACGGCUUACCAAGGCGACGAUGGGUAGCUGGUCUGAGAGGACGAUCAGCCACACUGGGACUGAGACACGGCCCAGACUCCUAUGGGAGGCAGCAGUGGGGGAAUCUUGCGCAAUGCGCGAAAGCGUGACGCAGCAACGCCGCGUGGGGGAAGAAGGACC